UUUGUCAUCCACGCUGCCAAAAGGAGCACCUGGUACACCCUAUAGGUGUGCCUUGUGUUUCACGUGUUUUCAUUUCCUGUUUGUGUCAUCCCAAAAAGCAGGGACGGAGCAAAUGGGACUGGUUCCCACUGUUGCUGGGUGAAGGCUUUUUACAGGCUGCUGUAUUGAUGUCAUCUUUUUUUCACCCCAAGUUUGGCUUUUCCCAUGCUUUUCCCGUAGCUGCUGCAUUGGGUGUCCCCAGGAGGGCUGGGUUCCUCAGCAGGGGUCUUAGGAGUUGCUAUGGAUUCUGAUUUUUCUGAAGCUGUAUGGAAGUGUGCUAGCGAAUCAGCUCUUUUCUCUCCUGAAAAGCUUUCCAUCUAUGUCCACCCGUGCGUCUCUGUGUUUUAAUCACGUAGCCGGACGCGCUGAGGUUCUUACUUUCUAAGCCAAAAGCUGAAGCAGAUGACCGUUUGCUUUGUGUGUGUGAGGAGUGGCAUUUGUGCUGGAGAGCUGCGGUUGGGAACAAAAGAUGGACUUAAUGUGCUCUGGGGACGGGCACGGGAGGAAACGCACAGAAAGGCAAGGCAGUGAUGAUUGCGGAGGAGAAAUGAGAGGUGGUUGCUUCCGAUCCGUGGGGACUUUCCUUGGGAGUGAUCGAUCAGAGAGCGUAUGGAAGUAGAGAGCAUCUUCUGGCUGCUUCUGUUCUGUAAACUUCUCCCUGGCUUCACAGGUCCGUGCUGGAGAGUGGGAGAAGGGUCCCUGCUGGCUGCCGUGUCCUGGGUGGGCACAGAGCUCUGACCUUGGCCAGAUGGGCUGGUUUCCGGGUGUUUUGAUCCUGACGUCGCCAAAGCCUCAGGUUUGCUGAAUUGGGGCUCUUACCUGUGUGACCCGUGAAAUGUCCCGGAAGCUGAUCGAUGUCUUCCUGCUCCCGCUGUGUUCAUUUGGGCUGUGCUUCAGGCUUCUCUCCCUGGGCCCUUGCCGUUGCCGUAUCUCUUGGAUGCCGUGCAGAACGGAAUCAGGCAGCCAAGCCUCAGGUUCACCUUCUCCCUCACCCUCUGCGCUGCUCGUGUGGCACAGCAGAUCCUGAAGCCAGAGGAGCACGUGUACAUAAGGGUAAAGAGAUUCCUUCUGUCACACCGGUAUUUGGACCUGAGGAAGGUACCAGGUUUUCUCCAGCUUUUCUACAGUUUUGAUUUUGAGUACAAAACAGCACGAGUGGAUCCUCAGAUUUCUUGGGGAAGGGCUGCGUGACAAACAUUGCUGUGAGCUCUAUGUCUACCAGAGGAUUUUCCGGGUCAUUCUUUCCUUUCUCAGCAGUCCUUUGUGUGACCAGGGCUCCCAGAGUCCUAUUCUGGAGAUACGACAGAGUGCUGCUGCCCGUGUCACCUCUAGAGCUGCCCAUGAGCCGAUAGAGGAUCACAGCCUCCUCUCGUGGGUCCUGCACGGCUUAGAGAAAAGGUUUCUGGAGAACCAGGUGAUAAAUAAAAUGAUUUCCUUACUCCAUCCUUUGUGGCUAAUAAAUUUAGGAGACAAGAGAGAAAACAGGAAUCGAUCCCAGAUGCUGCUGUUGAGAUGGGUAUAUGAUCUACCUGUAUAUAGAUAUAUGCGUAUCUCUGUAUAUCUGUGUAGUGAUAAUAAUGGGAGUUUUUAUGAUACGUUGCUUUACUGUCUUAUAUUUUUAAUAAAGUGUGAUUUUAAGUUAUUAGGUAUAACAUUUUAUUCUGCUUAUUGGCUAAAGUAACAUUUUCUUGUAUUUUAUUGGUAUCAAGUCAUGUUAAUCAUUAAUUGGUAAGAGUUUAUAAUGAAUUAUUAAGGUGUGAAUAUUGUUCAUUAAGGUACGUCUUUUUUUUACUGUAGGUAUUUUCAUGUGUUCGUAUGGGUUUUUAUGUUAAUGAUUUUGGGUUUUUGUGUUAUGAAUAUAUUAGUAUUUUAUUAGGGUUUUUUGGUUAGUUUACUUGUUUGGUGUGUAGAUCACUCCUGUUAAGUAUGUUUAUCUAUAUAUGUUUUAAAAUGUAAGUUAUAAAUCUACUUGUUAAGGAUUUUUGUAGAGUUCUAUGUAAAAAUUUAAAUCGGUAGGGGAGAUAAAAAGCAGUAAUUAUUAAUAAGAUGAGUAUUUUAGUUUUUAAUAAUGAUUUAAGUUAUUCAGCGAUGUUUUAAUUUUUGAAAAUAUUAUUUAGUUAUUUUUUAUGUGUGAUUGAUUAAUUUUUUAAAAAAAAAUUAGUAAUGUUUUUGUAAAUUGAUUUCUUGUGAUUUCAUCAAUUUAUAUAUUUUUAAAAAUGUUUUCUAUUUAUGAUUGUGUGUGAAUAAUAAAAAAUGAACAGUUGUUUUAUUUUGUAAGGUAGUAUGUUUAAAGAUGUUCAUAUUUGGCAGUAAUUUAUUUAACGUUAUACAUGUGUUAUUGUUUGAUUUGGUUAGUUAAUAAGUAAGUUCAUUUGAUGUGCUUCAAGUGUGAGUUGUAGUUAUUUUAGGUGUUAAAAGAGAUGUAGAACUAAUAGAAUUAGGUUGUUAAAAGGUUGUACGAUUUUGAUCCUGAGAAGUAAAUUUGUGUUGGAGUGAUUGGGUAUUUUUAGGUGGGUGUUCUUUUUUUGGGUUUUUUUUUUGUUUGUUUUUUUUUUUUUUUUUUUUUUUUUUUUUUUUUUUUUUUUUGUGUUUUGUUUUUUUUUUUAUAUGUAUUAUUGUUAUGUUUGGUCUUAGUGGGUUAAUUGUUUUAAAUUGUAGGUUUGCUGUUUUGAGGUAACUUCUUUGUGGUUUGGUGUGGUUUGGGGGUUGUUUUGUAACUAAAUAUUGUACAAGUAUUUGUUUGUAAUGAUUUGAGUAAUUUUACUUUUGGUGGUUUACCUGUAAUUUGGGGUAUGAGUGUAUAAAUGUUAUUUGAAGAGUUUA